ACUCAAAGGAAUUGACGGGGGCCCGCACAAGCAGCGGAGCGUGUGGUUUAAUUCGACGCAACGCGCAGCACCUUACCCAGACUUGACAUGCACCUGCAGCGCGGGGAAACUCGCGUGCCUUCGAGGGUGGUGCACAGAUGCUGCAUGGCUGUCGUCAGCUCGUGUCGUGAGAUGUUGGGUUAAGUCCCGCAACGAGCGCAACCCCCGCGGCCAGUUAUGGGUGUCUGGUCGGACAGCCCUUCGGGGAGGAAGGCGGGGAUGACGUCAAGUCCGCAUGGCUCUUACGUCUGGGGCGACACACACGCUACAAUGGCGCCGACAGCGCGCAGCGACCGAGCAAUCGGCAGCGAAUCGCCAAACGGCGCCCCAGUGCAGAUCGGGGGCUGCAACUCGCCCCCGUGAAGGCGGAGUUGCUAGUAACCGCGUAUCAGCCUUGGCGCGGUGAAUACGUACCCGGGCCUUGUACACACCGCCCGU
rnacentral:rRNA from 1 species